rnacentral:rRNA from 1 species
AGAGUUUGAUCCUGGCUCAGGAUGAACGCUGGCGGCGUGCUUAACACAUGCAAGGUCGAACGGUAACACCGGUUUUUCGGAUUGGUGUUUAGUGGCGGACGGGUGAGUAACGCGUGGGUAACCCUGCCUCAGACUGGGGGAUAACGGUUGGAAACGACCGCUAAUACCGCAUAAGCCCACAGUACCGCAUGGUACAGAGGGAAAAGAUUCAUCGGUUUGAGAUGGACCCGCGUCUGAUUAGUUAGUUGGUGGGGUAACGGCCUACCAAGACGACGAUCAGUAGCCGACCUGAGAGGGUGAUCGGCCACAUUGGGACUGAGACACGGCCCAAACUCCUACGGGAGGCAGCAGUGGGGAAUAUUGCGCAAUGGGGAAACCCUGACGCAGCAACGCCGCGUGAGUGAAGAAGUAUUUCGGUAUGUAAAGCUCUAUCAGCAGGGACGAAAUGACGGUACCUGCAGAAGAAGUCCCGGCUAACUACGUGCC